GCGUGUGCCAAAUAUGGGAAACAAAAUGGCGUCGGCUGGUGUGAAAAAAUAAACCGCUUUGCCGAAGUGGCGAGCUGUCGAGUAUUUUGAGCAAAGAACGACGGUGGAAUGAAGGAAUAAAAUAAAGGAAUAGCCUUAAAUGCUAAUCAAUGAUCCAUCCUGCCCAACUGAAAAGGUUAGGGUGCUGUUUAAAUGUUACUGAGCGUGUGAUUUUGAGAAAGCGCGAGCGUGUUUGUCCGGAAAUAGAUCAUCCGCGAAACGGAAUAGACUUCACUCCUCCAUACGUGUACUGUGUGGGCCCGUGGGGGCUAUCAAAUUUGCUGACAAGCAAAUUUCAAAUUUCUAGUCUGAUUUUGUUUCUUGAUAAGUGCUCUUUUGUUUCGAUACUGUGCAUAUUUUACGGGAACCAGGGACUAGACGGUAGAUAGGUACUAGGACUAGUAAAGGUAUGGAAAUGGUGCUCACUCAAGCAGUCAAGGCGCUGUAAAAAAGUUCACAAAUGUCUACAAAAACAGGUGUCCCGUUAGUCUCUUUUUGAAAAUGUUCACAGACUCUGAUUCUCUGAUAUUCCUUGGAAGUUCAUUCUGGAGUCUGGGUGCACUGACACUAAAGGCCUUGUCACAACCACAAUGUUUGGAUACAGGCACGGCCAACAGCAAUUGUUCAGCUGAACGAAGUGACCGCCCUGGCUUGUACACAGUCAGAAGAUCCCUGAUGUAGCUGGGAGCUUGGCCCUUCAAGGCCUUGAAAGUCAGCAGCAGAACCUUGAAAACCACACGGGACUGCUUAGGCAGCCAAUGAAAGUAAUAGGGGAGGUUUUGGAUGAUCCAUGUGCUUCCAUAUUGUGACAGCAACGGCUGCCUCGUCAUCAUCUUAUGGCCGAGGUUCUGGGAUUUACUUGAGAAGCGGUACCCGUUGUAUGACGUCAUGAGGCCGAUGCUGAUGGUGCUGGAGAAACUGGUCCAGACCCCCACCAGCUUCACCAGACCAGAGCGGGUUGUCCUCCUCUGUACCGGCCUGAAGCGCCCAGAGCAGAUGAAGGUCCAGAAGUGUGCCAGCAUGCUUCAUGGAAGGAUAGUCACUGAAUUCUCACCUGAAGUAGACUAGCGUAAACAGUUGAGUCAUGUGAACAGUGAAGGGAUGUGCGCGCGAACUCUCAAGUACCUGAACGCAGUCCUCCUGGGAAAAUGGAUCCUGAACUGAUGUUAUCCCAAAUGACAUAACUGUUCCUUAUCACGCCAAAUCAGGGAUCGUAUCUGGCUGAUUGGUGUUACUUCAUCAUUCACGAUCUAAAGGAUAAGAUUAAGAUGCAGCGUCACUUCCGGAUGUGUACAGCCCCGACAACUUGGUUCAUGGAAUGCAUCACUGGGUUUCAACUGCUUGAUCUGCCAGAAGGUAACGCAGACUGAACUUGUGAGCUGCACCAUCGCAGACAUCAUAUUGGAUUGAUGUUUGUGAUAUAUAACGUGUACAAUAGUCAUUUUCUAACGAAUUAUAUUCUACAAUCUAAAAGCAUGUAUUGUUUCACUCACUACCAAUAUCAUUUUUCCUGCAUGUCA